GUGCUUCGGCAGCACAUAUACCAAAACUGGAAUGUUACAGAGAAGAUCGGCGUGGCUCUUGAGGAAGGACGACAUACGAAUUUGUCAAGUGUUCCCUAUUUUU
ensembl:snRNA U6 U6 spliceosomal RNA